AAGGCUUUUAAAAAUAAAAAUAAAAUCUAUAGAUAGAAGACAUUGGUAUCAUCGUUAUAUCAAAUAUGUUGUGAGAAUAGUAAUUGCCAGAAAAGUUCAGAGGAGAGAGAGGUUGUGUUAUAGUAGGCAGACAUCAGCAGGCCAGGAGAGGGCUGCCCGCCCAAUCCGGAACAUCAGACGACCAUCAAGUGAUGGUCAGGUGGUUGUUACACUGUUACAGUCAUUAUUUCUCUAAAACAAUUAGUCACAGCCAGCACCAGGGAAAGCAGUCUCCCGACAGAUAGAAAAAACCUGAAACUGGUUAUCAGCAGCUUCCCAAUAAGAUCUCAGGAGUUAGGUAAGUGGGCUCAAGCAUGCGCACUAUGAGGCAAAAUGGGGGAGUUUAACUGGUAUAUGACUUUCCUCUAGGAACGUUGUACUGGUAAAGGAAGAACGUCUCAAGUGAGCAUGCCUAUAACUCCCAUAAACACGUUGCGCAGGCAGCCCUCCCCAAGCACUGGUAGGGCACUGGGCAUGCAGACAGCCCACCAGAAGGGAAGAAUCAGGGGAAAAGGGAUGCAAGACCCCAGAGAUAAACUGAAGCACAAGAGGGUAAAAACCUUGUCCUUGGUCUUACAACCAGAAAGUGGUGAUGCAAAGAACUUAGUCCAAGCUUUGAUCUUUUCUGCACUGCCUGCCAAACCAGAACCUUGAGAAAUACCCAUGUUUGGGGGAUGAGAGGAAGAAGAUAAAUCAGCAAAGAAAAUAGUGAUAAGAAAGAUGCAGAGCCCAGGGAUAUGGAGGGCCAAUUGUAUUUGUAAAACACUUAGAAUGGUGCCUGACAUGUGAGUUGCCUUGUCUAAUUCCAGUCCUGAGAUAGCUACCCAAGAUUGUUGUAACCUCCAGUGAUCAAGUUCUUUGGAUAAGCAAAGAGGGAGGACAUUAAGUGUAUGGAAAAGGCCCCUCCUCUCCACGGUGCA